GCCAGACUCCUACGGGAGGCAGCAGUGAGGAAUAUUGGUCAAUGGCCGAGAGGCUGAACCAGCCAAGUCGCGUGAGGGAAGACGGCCCUACGGGUUGUAAACCUCUUUUGUCGGGGGGCAAAGCGAGUCACGUGUGACUCAUUGAGAGUACCCGAAGAAAAAGCAUCGGCUAACUCCGUGCCAGCAGCCGCGGUAAUACGGAGGAUGCGAGCGUUAUCCGGAUUUAUUGGGUUUAAAGGGUGCGUAGGCUGUGAGGUAAGUCAGCGGUGAAAUGCCCCCGCUCAACGGGGUGAAGUGCCAUUGAUACUGCCUUGCUGGAAUGCGGAUGCCGUGGGAGGAAUGUGUGGUGUAGCGGUGAAAUGCAUAGAUAUCACACAGAACACCGAUUGCGAAGGCAUCUCACGAAUCCGCGAUUGACGCUGAUGCACGAAAGCGUGGGUAUCGAACAGGAUUAGAUACCCCAGUAUA
rnacentral:rRNA from 1 species